UUGAGUGACUCGAGGGCUGCAGGU
rnacentral:piRNA from 1 species